rnacentral:lncRNA from 1 species
CUGGAGAGCACUCAGUUCCAAAGGGAGGCAAGGGAACUGGAGGGUGCCCAGAUCCAGAAACCUGGGGCAGGAUGGAGGGAUGUGUCUCCUGGUGGAACACCAAUUUUCCCUGAGUUCUCUGAGAGUCUCCUCUCCUGCCACUACCAAAGUCUCCAUUGUAAGGACACCAUCUGUAGGGGCCUCUGGAAAUGAAGAGGUGUGCCUGCCCAGAUUUACCCCUGCAGGACAACCUGACUUGAAAGAGUUUGGGUUUGGUGCAGUUCCUGCUCAUCACAUACAGAAGGAAGCAGUGGCAGAAACGCUGGAUGGGCCAUAAGAGAUUAUGAGGAUUACUAUCCUGGGAUCACAAGUAGGGCCUCUGAGUCCACGAGGCAGGCCUUUGGCUCCCACACGGUACAAGUGGACCCAAUUGUCCACUCUUCCUGUCUUGUCUCUACCAUAGGGAUCUCCUGUGAUAGGAAGCUGCAUGGAGUUCUGGGCACACCCAAGCCAGGCCUGCUCAUAGUGCUCAUCAUGUUCACUGAGGGCACCUGCGUCUGUGAGGCGAUAGUCUGGCGUGGGAUAUGUACUGUGGGGCUGGAUUUCAAGAGGGUCCUUUCCAUGUGGAGAGCUCAGGAGUCUCACUACUGGGAAUUUUGUGCAGGAAGGGUACCCGGCAUACAUCCAGGUCCCUGACAGGGAUGCUCCUAGCCAAGAGUUUCUGUGGGGCACAUGGGCACAAACCCAAAUGACCAAAGUGAAAAUCUUGGAAUUUUUUGCCAACACAACUGGGAGUAAUCCUAGAGGCUAUCCCUUCAGGUAUGGAGAUGCUUUGAGAAAUCAGACAAAGAGAACCUGGAUCAGGUUCGCCCAGCAGGUGGUACUUGUGCUCUGA